GAAAAUGUGUGGCCGAAGCCGAAAUGAUCUGCUCAGUUGACGCCGAAAUCGAAAUUGACGAACCCUCCUGCCAGAACCAAAACAAACAUCCCGCGCGCUUAUUUACUUGUUGCUGCUACUGUCCUCGAACAUGACAGUCUACAUAUGUGCUGUUGCCGACUGCAAAUCCUCUUCGCAGAAGAAGGAUCCUGAGGUGAAGGGCUGGGCUCGUUUUCCAAAGAAAAAAGAGGCUGCCCGAAGACGUUUGUGGGUGACCAGAUGUAAGAGGGGACCUACAUGGAAAGCCACCCGACACCAUGCACUGUGCUCAAAUCACUUUAUAGACUGGAACAACGGGCCGUCACCAUCGCAUCCUGAUCCAGAGUUGUUCGGCUACAAUCAAUGGAGGCCGAAAAACAACGCUGGUGCCAUCAGUGGGCUUGGAGCACGAACACCAGCGGCUGACAGAGGCGAUCAAGAACCACUAACCCAGUCACUGCCCUCUUCACACUCUGCCCCUGCCUUGCCAGUCAACAUUGACUUCAUAAAGGAAACUGACGAAGAAGUACAAACUGAUGUCCAUAUUGAAGUCGAGACAUGGGCUCACAAUGCAUCAGUUCAAGUUGAUGCUGAACAGUUUCUCCAGAUAGAGGUAGUGCCGGAACCACAGGAUCACACCUAUUCAGCAUCAGCCAUUGCUACUACUUCAGCAGCUGAGCCCAAGGAUGUUGGAGUACAAGUUGAAAGGGAGGCAGAUCUAACAGAAGCACCUACUGAUCAGAGAGCCCGGACCAGAGGAAGGAUUCUUGCUAGUGACAAGAGUGUUCAGCGCUAUACAGGUCUUCCUAACAAAAGUGUUUUGAUUUCUAUUUAUCAGACCAUUAAAA